UACGGGGGGAGCAAGCGUUGUUCGGAUUUACUGGGCGUAAAGGGCGCGUAGGCGGCCAGCACAAGUCAGUUGUGAAAUCUCCGGGCUUAACUCGGAAAGGUCAACUGAUACUGUGCGGCUAGAGUGCGGAAGGGGCAACUGGAAUUCUUGGUGUAGCGGUGAAAUGCGUAGAUAUCAAGAGGAACACCUGCGGCGAAGGCGGUCUGCUGGGCCGUUGCUGACGCUGAGGCGCGACAGCGUGGGGAGCAAACAGG
rnacentral:rRNA from 1 species